CUCAGGUAAUAGAACUCUCAGAAUGUUACUGCAGAAGAAUACAUUAUAGUGGUGUGCCAAUUAAACUGAACAGACUGUCCUUGACUGAAUACUCUUUUUAUAAGAGUGUGCUGGUAGCAGUGCCUCAUAGGACGGGGCCAGAAUCUGAAGGGAGGGGAGCGAAUAGUUCAAUUGAGAGCUCUGGGAGCAGGUAGAGAAAACAGCUGGCACUGCUGAAUGCUAUACUGGAUCAAGAAAAUCAGGAGUCCCAGAUCUCAUCUCUUCUUCCUGCCAGCCCCCUCCCCUGUGUGGAUAUGGCAUAAAUAUGGGACUGUCCCUUUAAAAACAGGAUAUCUGGUCACCCUAAGCAGAGAAGAAACUCAAAGUGAUUAAAUUGGGAGCCUGCCAGCAAGAAAUUGUGUGCCAGCAGAACAUCACCAUCUGGCUCCCUGACUGCAGGGCCAGCUCCUGCUCUGCAAGAAUACAGAAGAUG